rfam:Bacillus sp. MTM 13 9, whole genome shotgun sequence.
UUUCAAGGAUCGAAGGCUAAAUACUCUGCAUCCUGCAGAAACGCCUUCAUGACCUGCGUCCUGCAGG